rnacentral:lncRNA from 1 species
UCCUGGGUAACCAAAUUGAAAGUAGCCAAACCAUUAUAUUUGAGCUACAACUCUGCAUAGUAACCAUACAGAAAUAAAAUCCUAUAACAGAAUAAACCUCUGCAUCAGAGUCAAAAUCCAGUUCCAUGUCCUCUAUAUCAUUAAGCUAGAGAUUACAAAUAAUAUUUUUGGUCACAUGCUGCCCUAUAUCAUCAAACUGUUCACUGAGUUAAUCAAAGACAAAAAUCAUUUUAUUGUAAGAUAUGUAUGCUUAAACAUAAGUUACAUUCUAAAAAUUACCUGAAAAGAUCAUUCAAAGACAAAAACACUAAAACAAAAAAACAAAACAAAUCAAGAACACACUAAACAAAUAUUCCACAUAAUUAAAUAGCCCCCUAAACAAAGACCCCUAUAUACCAGAGAUACAAAUCACAAGAACAAUAGCACAAUAUUAACCCAAAUAGUCCUAAAACUCAGUAGCCCCAUAUAUAUACAAGAACACCCAAAUCAAGAGAACACCCGAAUCAAGAAUCUUCAUAUAUAUACAAUAUCACAAUACUAACCUAAAAAGCAACAAAAUACAGUAUGCAUACACGAAUCAGAGCUUACCAACUCAAGAACUAAGCUCCCAAUCGACUAAUUAAGCUCAAGCUUCGAGCCCUCGAAACAGAGCAGCGAGCAACGAGAAAGACGUCAGGGCUCAAAAAGUAGGGGCGGAAUCGAGGUGUAUAGCUCUUGGAGCGCCUGAACUGGGACAGAGAUUAUGAACGCCGCUGGAUUCUUGUCGGGCGAUUUCUAGGGUUCUUGAGCCCCCUUCUUUGUCGAGACUUUUUUGUUUAAAUCGGGGUGUUAGAGUGUGUCGUUAUGAUUUUUAUAUUUUAUGUUUUGAGUUUUUAUUUAUGUAGUUAUAUUUUUAGUUUUAUAUUUGUAAUGUGUUGGGUGAUUUCAUGUUAAUUAUGUGUUUGUGAGUAGUUUUAGUUUUACAUUUUAGAGAAAUAAUUAUAAGGUUAAUAUUUAUUUUUAAUAUUUUAAACUUAUAUAUAUGAUUUGUGUAUUUUAAUGAUUUUUAAUAUUUUAAAGUUAUAUAUAUGAUUUGUGUUGAAAGGCAUAUGUUCAGCCUAUUUGUAUUUAAAGAGGUACAACUCAACUCAGAUCAGAAAGCUCAGUAAAUAGCAAGUCAUCGGAAUCAGUACGAAGAACGUCAAAUGAUUUAUGGAAAUCAUAUGUCAGAUAAGUUCCAGGAUGCUGCUGCACGCCACUGAAAGAAGUUCAUUAAUAUGUUCAAGCCUCAGUGCACAAAUAAUCUUUUGUGGCACGUCCAGGAGUUCAGAAGACAUAAAGUUUCUAUACUUUAUUUCAUCAGAAGAUUCCAUUUAAUGAAGAUGUACGUACAAGACGAAGACUCACUACUAGAAAUAUGCUAAUAUACAUCAGUUAAAAACUGAUGUCCCACAGAAUUGUAACUGAUGUUACUGUGGGCGAUGUUAAAGGUACCCAUCUUUAACAUCAGUUAAUAGCUGAUGUCUAUUGUUAGAUUUAACAUCAGUUUUGUACCCCUAAAUGAUGUAUAUUAUAUUCUUUAACAUCAGUUCUGUAAUCAUGGAUGAUGUCUAUUGUACUCAUUUACAUCAGUUAAUAACUGAUGUUAAAACUAAGUGUCUUUAACAUCGCCCACAAAGACAUCGCCUGAAUUUUUUACUUACAUCAGCUAAUAACUGAUGUCUAUAGCAUUUAACAUCACAUCAACUUUAAAGAAACUGAUGUUAUAACAUUUGAUUAACAUCAUUUCUUUAGUCAUUAACUGAUGUAAUAAAACUGAAUUAACAUCAUUUUUAUACGCCACAAAUACCAAACUAAGAAAACAACUAAAUCUUAUUAAUGCUUUAUAUAAAUCAAUUGUACUCUAUACAUCCUUUAAAUUCUAAUUUUCACCUAUUACACAUUCAUCAAAUCCAAUAUCGAUCAACUACUACACAUCCAUCUAAUCUAAAUAUCAAGUACGUACUACAUCCAUAUAUUUGACAAUAAUUCGACAAUUCUAACUAGUCUAGUAAAUGUGGAUCUCAUGUUCUCUCGGGCACCAUAGGCAGAACCUGCAAAUUCAACAAUUUAUCAUCAUUAUGAUGCCAAUGUCACUGUUAUAUGAAAGUAAAAUAAUAGGACUCAUGUAACGAGAGGAUAUGAUAGGCAUAAACAAACGGUACCUGAAUACUGCCUGUUGACAAAGACAUGUACUGCAUGGCCUCUUGAAAUUUAUCUCUUUAUCCUUUUAAUUCAAAAAAGAAAAAGAGGUCAAGUAGAUUAGAUACAAAAUAAAAAAGCUUCAGAAUAGUUGUAGACCUGCAGCCUUCCAUUAAAUUUGUUAUAUUAUAUCAUUUGUUGCUCAAAGAGAAAUGAAAAAAAUCAGCAGUUGUCCCCUUCUUUAAUGUCAUGCAUGUGAAUUAUGUACCGCACACCUUUCUUUUAAAUAUGUAAUAUGUACAUGAAUUCUAACUUAUAAAAUUUCCAAGUCUUGUCUUUAUUUAUGACUUAUGGCAUAAUUUUGUGCAGGACUGAACAUGGUUUAAGCAAGAUAUAUUAAAUAUUUUACCAAUGUCAUAUAUGUGCCUUAAGGCCACUUGACAUACUACUAGGCUUCGUUGCAUUUUUUUUCUAUUGCAUGCUUUCAUGUUAUGCCCAGUGGCGUAUACAAGUCACUGGGGUCAAAUAAAAUUUUAAUGUUUCAAGAAGAUCUAGAGAAUUUACAUAAGCUAUGAUUUAGAGAAUCCACAUAAGCAAAUCUAGCCUGUCACAACACCAAGUAAACUCUUAAAAACAAUAACAUACAUUAGCAUGUUAGAUAAGAUGGAUUGGAAUCAAAGAAUAAAUAAAGAAAAAGCCUUGACAUAAUACCUGCAGUAAUAUGUUCGAUUUGACUGUCAGAAUAUAACAGGAUAAUGCAAGAUAAUGAAAUUAUACAAGAGAUUAGCGAUUAUCAAAGAUACUAUUGCAAGCAAAUUCAAAUAAAAUAGUAUAUAAAAGACCAAGUAAAACAGUAACAAAAGGUUACCUCCUUGGUUUUAGAGAUAGGAAAUUAACCAAAUAAUUUAGAGUCACUAGAGGUUACGCAAAGGCAUCAUAGAAAACCUGAAUUCUUUUCAUUUCCAGAAGUCUGCAGCACUGGACCAGAUAGAAGAUUAUGAGAUCAUUUGCAAGAUUAUGAUGCUCUAUUCCUUUUCCUCGCAAAACAAUUUUAAAGCUUUGUGGUAGACCGAGGUACAAGUUGGAUACAUAUGCCUAUUGUACACAAGAAUAAUGUUAGAACACUAUAAGGCAAGUUAAGCUAUCCUGUGAAAUCAAUAAUUCAACUGGUAUAUAGAAACUUACACGAAAAGAAUAUCGGUAAAGGUUUGUAAUAUGCUGGUCUUGAAUUGGUUUUGGGUUCAGGCGUAUCUCAAUGAGCUUUGCAUCAUCAUUUAUACGGAUAUCCUGGGUAACCAAAUUGAAAGUAGCCAAACCAUUAUAUUUGAGCUACAACUCUGCAUAGUAACCAUACAGAAAUAAAAUCCUAUAACAGAAUAAACCUCUGCAUCAGAGUCAAAAUCCAGUUCCAUGUCCUCUAUAUCAUUAAGCUAGAGAUUACAAAUAAUAUUUUUGGUCACAUGCUGCCCUAUAUCAUCAAACUGUUCACUGAGUUAAUCAAAGACAAAAAUCAUUUUAUUGUAAGAUAUGUAUGCUUAAACAUAAGUUACAUUCUAAAAAUUACCUGAAAAGAUCAUUCAAAGACAAAAACACUAAAACAAAAAAACAAAACAAAUCAAGAACACACUAAACAAAUAUUCCACAUAAUUAAAUAGCCCCCUAAACAAAGACCCCUAUAUACCAGAGAUACAAAUCACAAGAACAAUAGCACAAUAUUAACCCAAAUAGUCCUAAAACUCAGUAGCCCCAUAUAUAUACAAGAACACCCAAAUCAAGAGAACACCCGAAUCAAGAAUCUUCAUAUAUAUACAAUAUCACAAUACUAACCUAAAAAGCAACAAAAUACAGUAUGCAUACACGAAUCAGAGCUUACCAACUCAAGAACUAAGCUCCCAAUCGACUAAUUAAGCUCAAGCUUCGAGCCCUCGAAACAGAGCAGCGAGCAACGAGAAAGACGUCAGGGCUCAAAAAGUAGGGGCGGAAUCGAGGUGUAUAGCUCUUGGAGCGCCUGAACUGGGACAGAGAUUAUGAACGCCGCUGGAUUCUUGUCGGGCGAUUUCUAGGGUUCUUGAGCCCCCUUCUUUGUCG